GUAGGGAGUGCAAGUCAUCCCCUUGGAGAGAUAAAGCCCCUUGCAAGGUCUCCAUGGCUGCAGAUACCUGCCGAUGCAGAUUCAUUAUGAAGUCACUUUGGUCGCCUUUCCACAGUUGCAAAGAACCUCAGACAACAUGGUGUACUGGCCCCUCCUAACCAUGCCGACAGUGAGCAGGUCGUAGACAGAGACCGAAUCCUGCAGGGUGGCCUGGCGAGCCUCGACUUGAUCUGGCAGGCGGCUGAUGACCGCGUCACCACUGGCCUUGAUUAAAAAACAUAAAACAAGGAUUUGAAGUGAAGAAGAGAAGAUAAUGACUGAGAAAGGUGUCCUUGUGUUCCAAA